GUGGAAGUGUGAACACUACUCAGUAGAUAAGCUUGUUCAGAAAGGUGUCAAUUAGGGAUGCUAGCUAGCUAUGUUAGCUGGCUAACUUUAAACACAAACUGUUAAAUUUCUACUUAAAUUGUAUUGGAAUUAGUCUAAACAUGGGCUUAACAUCACUAUGGUUCACAUUUAAUAAACAAGAUACAAGUGUUAUUAAAGUUAGCCUACAUUUUUGGGUCUAAACCUAGCUUUAAGUUAACCUACCUAACCUAGGUCCAAAUUAACCUAACCUAAAUCACAGCACUGUUGCUAGGUAGCUAACAGAUAGUUAAGGCUAGCUAAGCAUAAGGUAGCUGCUACUUAUGUUGUUGUUUGGCUAAUUUUGUUGUUUACAUACACAAAGUUUGUUUUAACUACUAUUUAGGUUAGCUAACGUUGGAUAACAACACAAAAAACACGCUUUCACACUCACCUUUCUCAGCAUGGGAACCCGUAAAGGUGAGGCAACAGAGGAGAGAGAGGAGCAGCCGGGCUCCCCGCUCGGCCAUCACUUUCCAAAACACAGAAUACUUUCCAGGUUCUCCCCGCUCCCCUCCGGCUCCCCCGGUGCGCGGUCAGCACUUCUCCCGAACAGCUUCCACCAACAAAACCCUCCGGAAAAACCAGCGCCUCCUUCCCGAACUCGCCCCCCGACACAUGAAGCUCUGGUCGGCGUGGAGAAGCUCAGCGAGCCGGAAACCCGCAGCUCUGUCCUGCGCUCCAAACUUGGCGAAGAGGCGGCGGAGCGGAGCAAAUCACAUCAAUCCAUAUCCGCACUUUACUCAAACACGGACCCGCAGCCACGGACAAGCGCGUGGAAAAGCAUAGCGGCGUGUGGAGCGAAGAAUCCCCACUUUCAGGAGGUGUAGAAGUGUUUCCAGUACCCGGUGAGCACGCCUCAAAACGAGAAGGCUAGAUAUUCCAGGCUGAGCACAACUGAGUAAAGCCGAGCUGGAGCAGAGAGCAGAGCGCAACAGCGGCGGCGGCGUGUGGAGCAGCGUAGGGGCAGGAAUUCACUGGAGCUCUCGGUAAAACCUGGAACACGCCUGAAUGGAUCUCCACAAACGCGGACCGGAGUUUUUACACGGCGUGGCUUUCCCCCCAGGCAAAUACAAAACUGUGGCAUGGCCUCACCAACGUUACUACAUUAUCACUAUUAUAUCUAUUAUUGCACUACAAAGAACAACAGACAAGACUAAAGUCAAACGUUUACAGCAUCUAAAAGAUAGAUAGAUAGCUUCUCCAAUCAUAAUUCUAAACCUAAUCCUGAUCCAGUCCUGUAAAUUGUACUGUUUCCUUGUUUUGAUACACUACUACUGCACCACUGCCACUUGUUAAGAGCCUAAUUAUUAGAUAGUAGAUUCAGGUGUGUUCUCACAAGUCUUCAGGCUGGAUCCAAGGCUGCGUCCCAAAAUGUGUACUAAUCACUACUAUUAACUGUAUUUUGAGUAUGAAAUGUGUUUUAUAGAUACAAAUAUAUAAAUCUAAAUAUAAUAUGGCUAAAAGUUUAGUAUACUCAAAUGUUUACAGAACAGUUUGCACGAGGCUACGUACCAACUAGUUUUUGAGUAUUAAGUAUAUAGUAUUAAAAAUGUAUUAAGGAUACAGAUAAAAGUAUCAAAGUUAAUAUACUCAAAUAUUCACAAAACAGUCUGUUUUUGGGGCUGCAUCCCAAAUGUGUUCUACUUACUAAUGCUGACUUGUUUUUGAGUAUGAAAUGAGUAAUACAGAUGAAAUACAGAUAUAAAUAUCCAAAGAACAGUAUGUUUUUUGAGGCUGCGUCCCAAAUGUGUUCUACUUACUAAUGCUGACUUGUUUUUGAGUAUAAAAUGUGUUAUAUGAAUAAAAGUGUCAGAAGUUAAUGUACGUUACUCCA
ensembl:lncRNA